CAGAGGUGGCAAGCGUUGUUCGGAAUUACUGGGCGUAAAGGGCGCGUAGGCGGCUUUUUAAGUCAGACGUGAAAUCCCCAGGCUUAACCUGGGAACUGCGUCUGAUACUGAGAAGCUUGAGUUCGGGAGAGGGAUGUGGAAUUCCAGGUGUAGCGGUGAAAUGCGUAGAUAUCUGGAGGAACACCGGUGGCGAAGGCGGCAUCCUGGACCGAAACUGACGCUGAGGCGCGAAAGCCAGGGGAGCAAACGGGAUUAGAUACCCCGGUAGUCCUGGCCCUAAACGAUGAGUGCUUGGUGUGGCGGGUAUCGAUCCCUGCCGUGCCGAAGCUAACGCAUUAAGCACUCCGCCUGGGGAGUACGGUCGCAAGGCUG
rnacentral:rRNA from 1 species